rnacentral:rRNA from 1 species
UCUGGCGGCAGUAGCGCGGUGGGCCCACCUGACCCCAUUCCGAAGUCAGAAGUGAAACGCCGUAGCGCCGAUGGUAGUGUGGGGUCUCCCCAUGCGAGAGUAGGGAACUGCCAGAC